rnacentral:rRNA from 1 species
UACAGAGGUCUCAAGCGUUGUUCGGAUUCAUUGGGCGUAAAGGGUGCGUAGGUGGCGGGGUAAGUCAGGUGUGAAAUCUCGAGGCUCAACCUUGAAACUGCACUUGAUACUGCCGUGCUCGAGUACUGGAGAGGAGAUUGGAAUUUACGGUGUAGCAGUGAAAUGCGUAGAUAUCGUAAGGAAGACCAGUGGCGAAGGCGAAUCUCUGGACAGUUACUGACACUGAGGCACAAAGGCCGGGGGAGCAAACGGG